rnacentral:rRNA from 1 species
GUUUGAUCCUGGCUCAGAACGAACGCUGGCGGCAGGCUUAACACAUGCAAGUCGAACGAGAAACUUCUUCGGAAGUGGAAAGUGGCAGACGGGUGAGUAACGCGUGGGAAUCUGCCCAGAGGUUCGGGACAACCAUUGGAAACGAUGGCUAAUACCGGAUAAGCCCGCAAGGGGAAAGAUUUAUCGCUAAAGGAUCGGCCCGCGUUAGAUUAGGUAGUUGGUAGGGUAAUGGCCUACCAAGCCGACGAUCUAUAGCUGGUUUGAGAGGAUGAUCAGCAACACUGGGACUGAGACACGGCCCAGACUUCUACGGAAGGCAGCAGUAGGGAAUCUUGGACAAUGGGCGAAAGCCUGAUCCAGCCAUGCCGCGUGAGUGAUGAAGGCCCUAGGGUUGUAAAACUCUUUCGCCAGGGAAGAUAAUGACGGUACCUGGUAAAGAAACCCCGGCUAACUCCGUGCCAGCAGCCGCGGUAAUACGGAGGGGGUUAGCGUUGUUCGGAAUUACUGGGCGUAAAGCGCACGUAGGCGGAUUAGUAAGUCAGGGGUGAAAUCCCGAGGCUCAACCUCGGAACUGCCUUUGAUACUGCUAAUCUUGAGUUCGAGAGAGGUGAGUGGAAUUCCGAGUGUAGAGGUGAAAUUCGUAGAUAUUCGGAGGAACACCAGUGGCGAAGGCGGCUCACUGGCUCGAUACUGACGCUGAGGUGCGAAAGCGUGGGUAGCAAACAGGAUUAGAUACCCUGGUAGUCCACGCCGUAAACGAUGAGAACUAGCCGUUGGGCAGAUUUAACUGUUCAGUGGCACAGCUAACGCAUUAAGUUCUCCGCCUGGGGAGUACGGCCGCAAGGCUAAAACUCAAAUGAAUUGACGGGGGCCCGCACAAGUGGUGGAGCAUGUGGUUUAAUUCGAUGCAACGCGAAGAACCUUACCAACCCUUGAAAUCUAGCGAAGUUCACAGAGAUGAGAAUGUGCCUUCGGGAACGCUAUGACAGGUGUUGCAUGGCUGUCGUCAGCUCGUGUCGUGAGAUGUAUGGUUAAGUCCAGUAACGAGCGCAACCCCUAUCCUUAUUUGCCAGCGCGUUAAGGUGGGAACUAUAGGGAGACUGCCGGGUGAAACCCGGAGGAAGGCGGGGACGAGGUCAAGUCAUCAUGGCCCUUAUGGGUUGGGCUACACACGUGCUACAAUGGGAAGUACAGAGGGAUGCGAAAGCGCGAGCUGGAGCCAAACCCUUAAAACUUUUCUUAGUCCGGAUUGGAGUCUGCAACUCGACUCCAUGAAGUCGGAAUCACUAGUAAUCGCGAAUCAGAAUGUCGCGGUGAAUACGUUCUCGGGCCUUGUACACACCGCCCGUCACAUCAUGGAAGUGGUUUGCACCAGAAGUGGUUAGUCUAACCUUCGGGAAGACGAUCACCACGGUGUGAUUCAUGACUGGGAUGAAGUCGUAACAAGGUAGCCGUA